GACGAACGCUGGCGGCGUGCUUAACACAUGCAAGUCGAACGGAAAGGCCCUGCUUUUGUGGGGUGCUCGAGUGGCGAACGGGUGAGUAACACGUGAGUAACCUGCCCUUGACUUUGGGAUAACUUCAGGAAACUGGGGCUAAUACCGGAUAGGAGCUCCUGCUGCAUGGUGGGGGUUGGAAAGUUUCGGCGGUUGGGGAUGGACUCGCGGCUUAUCAGCUUGUUGGUGGGGUAGCGGCUUACCAAGGCUUUGACGGGUAGCCGGCCUGAGAGGGUGACCGGCCACAUUGGGACUGAGAUACGGCCCAGACUCCUACGAGAGGCAGCAGUGGGGAAUAUUGCACAAUGGGCGGAAGCCUGAUGCAGCAACGCCGCGUGCGGGAUGACGGCCUUCGGGUUGUAAACCGCUUUCGCCUGUGACGAAGCGUGAGUGACGGUAAUGGGUAAAGAAGCACCGGCUAACUACGUG
rnacentral:rRNA from 1 species